rnacentral:tRNA from 1 species
GGGAGGUUAGCUCAGGGGUAGAGCGAAGCAUUCACACUGCUUAGGUCGUAGGUUCGAAACCUACACUUCCCA